GUGGGGAAUUUUGGACAAUGGGCGAAAGUCUGACGCAGCGACGCCGCGUGAGUGAUGAAGGCCUUAGGGUCGUAAAGCUCUGUUGAAUGGGAAGAAAAAAAUGACGGUACCAUUCGAGGAAGGACCGGCUAACUUCGUGCCAGCAGCCGCGGUAAUACGAGGGGUCCUAGCGUUGUUCGGAAUCAUUGGGCGUAAAGGGUGUGUAGGUGGCCAUGUAAGUCAGGUGUGAAAGCCCCGGGCUCAACCCGGGAAGUGCACUUGAUACUGCGUGGCUUGAGUACCGAAGAGGGUAGUGGAAUUCCAGGUGUAGUGGUGAAAUACGUAGAUAUCUGGAGGAACACCGGUGGCGAAGGCGGCUACCUGGUCGAGUACUGACACUGAGACACGAAAGCAUGGGGAUCAAACAGGAUUAGAUACCCCUGUAGUCC
rnacentral:rRNA from 1 species